AAACACUCUCUAAUAUUCAUCUAUCCUCUCCAAGCUUUUCUUUAUCAUCCAAGUAAGAUCCGAACCCCGAAAACCCGAGCUAGUGAAAGGGAAGUUGCUCCUAGGGUUUCUAUUUGAAGUGGUUGAGUUUAGGAGUUGGAUUUGAAGUUUGGUUCUUGGAAUUCCAGCCCCUUUAAGUGUUGCAAGCUUGGGAAGUACGCAUCGGACUUUAGGUAGACUCUAAGGUACCGAUAGACAGGGAGAUGAUCCGGCUCAGUGGGACUUCCCCUCAGCCAUAGUUGGUGCGCUCCACUUGAUCCGGAGUUGCGAUUCAUUUUGGUAUGCUGUUUUGAGAUGUAUAUACAUGUAUAUGGGUAUGGGGGGGCCUUGUCCCGUCCUUUCUAUAGUUUUCUGUUCCAUUAGAGGUCUGUAGACAGUGGUAUGUAGUUGGUACAUGAUGU